rnacentral:rRNA from 1 species
CGCCUACACGCUAGGUUUGUAGGUACCGCCUGCCCACUGUGUAAUAAAUGGCCGCAGUAUCUUAACUGUGCAAAGGUAGCAUAAUCACUUGUCUCCUAAUUAGAGGCUGGAAUGAAUGGCGCCACGAAGUGGAACCUGUGUCAAGGGUAAUAAUUAACUUAAUCUUUAAGUCAAAAAGCUUAAAUUUCCACGCAGGACGAGAAGACCCCUUAGAUCUUUAUAAAGAAACCCAACUUACAUUAGAAGAUUAAGGUAAAUUGUAAUUUUAUUAUUUAGUUGGGGUGACGUGAAGACUUAAACUCUUCGGGUUUAAACUUUUAUAAACGGACUUAUGACCCGGCCCCCCCGACCAUAAGAUUAAGUUACCUAGGGGAUAACAGCGUAAUCUGCUUUUAGAGCUCUUAUCAAAAGGCAGGGUUGCGACCUCGAUGUUGGAUUAAGAUUCUUAAUGUGAGCAACCCCACAUUAAAGGGGUCUGUUCGACCUUUAAAUUCUUACAU